CCGUAACUAUAACGGUCCUAAGGUAGCGAAAUUCCUUGUCGGGUAAGUUCCGACCCGCACGAAAGGCGUAAUGAUUUGAGCACUGUCUCGACAAUGCAUCCGGUGAAAUUGAAGUACCAGUGAAGAUGCUGGUUACCUGCGCCAGGACGGAAAGACCCCAUGGAGCUUUACUCCAGUUUGAUACUGGGAUUCGGUACUGCAUGUACAGGAUAGGUGGGAGACGAAGAAGGAUGGACGCCAGUCUGUCCGGAGUCGCUGUUGGGAUACCACCCCUGUAGUACUGGGUUUCUAACCAGUUGCCAUGAACUGGCAAUGGGACAAUGUCAGGCGGGGAGUUUGACUGGGGCGGUCGCCUCCGAAAGGGUAUCGGAGGCGCUCAAAGGUUCCCUCAGAAUGGUUGGAAACCAUUCGAAGAGUGCAAAGGCAGAAGGGAGCUUGACUGCGACACCGACGGGUGGAGCAGGUACGAAAGUAGGACUUAGUGAUCCGGUGGUAUAAAGUGGGAUUGCCAUCGCUCAACGGAUAAAAGCUACCCUGGGGAUAACAGGCUUAUCACUCCCAAGAGUUCACAUCGACGGAGUGGUUUGGCACCUCGAUGUCGGCUCAUCGCAUCCUGGGGCUGAAGUAGGUCCCAAGGGUUGGGCUGUUCGCCCAUUAAAGCGGUACGCGAGCUGGGUUCAGAACGUCGUGAGACAGUUCGGUCCCUAUCCGGCGCGGGCGUAGGAUAUUUGAGAGGAGCUGCCCUUAGUACGAGAGGACCGGGGUGGACUGGCCUCUGGUGUAUCUGUUGAGCCAUCAGGCUCAUGGCAGAGUAGCCAAGCCGGGACGGGAUAAACGCUGAAGGCAUCUAAGCGUGAAGCCCCCCUCAAGAUGAGAUAUCCCUCCUUCGGGAGUAAGACCCCUUGAAGACUACAAGGUAGAUAGGGCAGAGGUGGAAGCAUGGCAACAUGUGGAGCUGACUGUUACUAAUAGGUCGAGGGCUUAAUCUG
rnacentral:rRNA from 1 species